rnacentral:misc_RNA from 1 species
GAUGAAGAACGUAGCGAAAUGCGAUAAGUAAUGCGAAUUGCAGAAUUCCAGUGAGUCAUCGAAUCUUUGAACGCACAUUGCGCCCAUUGGUAUUCCGAUGGGCAUGCCUGUUCGAGCGUCAUUAUCAACCCUCAAGCCCCUUUGGCUUGGUGUUGGGGCCUGCUGCACUGGCAGCCCUUAAAAUCAGUGGCGGCGCCAUCUGGCUCUAAGCGUAGUAAUUCUUCUCGCUAUGGAGUCCUGGUGGAUGCUUGCCAUCAACCCCCAAUUUUUCUAUGGUUGACCUCGGAUCAGGUAGGGAUACCCGCUGAACUUAAGCAUAUCAAUAAGCGGAGGA